rnacentral:rRNA from 1 species
AACGAACGCUGGCGGCAGGCCUAACACAUGCAAGUCGAACGCUCGUAGCAAUACGGGAGUGGCAGACGGGUGCGUAACGCGUGGGAACAUACCCUUUGGUUCGGAAUAACUCAGGGAAACUUGAGCUAAUACCGGAUACGCCCGAGAGGGGAAAGAUUUAUUGCCGAAGGAUUGGCCCGCGUCUGAUUAGCUAGUUGGUGAGGUAACGGCUCACCAAGGCGACGAUCAGUAGCUGGUCUGAGAGGAUGAUCAGCCACACUGGGACUGAGACACGGCCCAGACUCCUACGGGAGGCAGCAGUGGGGAAUAUUGGACAAUGGGCGCAAGCCUGAUCCAGCCAUGCCGCGUGAGUGAUGACGGCCUUAGGGUUGUAAAGCUCUUUACCCGGGAAGAGUAAUGACGGUACCGGAGAAUAAGCCCGGCUAACUUCGUGCCAGCAGCCGCGGU